rnacentral:tmRNA from 1 species
GGGGGUGAACGGUUUCGACUCCGGACGGUGAGUCAGGGGAAGCGUGCAGGUGCAGGCGGGAGACCACCUAGAGCGUCGCCGCACAACAAAUAAGCGCCGACAACAAGAGUCGCGCCGAGUUCGCCCUCGCCGCCUGAGCGAGGACUAACUCUGUCGGACCGGGAACGCCUUCGUCCCGGACCCCGGCAUCAUUGAGAAGGCUCAACUGCUAGGACUGGCUACGGGAACUGGCAGGACACCUCACAGUAGCUGGGCUCGUCACACCGGCAGGUUCGCGUGACCGGUGGAGUCAAGUAGAGGCUGAGCGGACUGCGCACGGAGAAGUCCUGAGGAAGCGUCGGAGGACCCGGGUUCAAUUCCCGGCACCUCCACUC